CCAAAAUUUCACUUUACUUUACUUUUAUACGAUUUAUAGUAUCAAAUUCUUAAACUACCGUACCCGCGUCCAAUUAUUUCUUUUAUACCAACUCUACACGUGUCCAUUAAGAUGUAGGUGUAAAUUUAUACUUUGUUAUUAUAGUGCUGCCCCUAGAAAUCUCAUUGUCUUCUACCACUCUCUCCUCCGACUUUUCCGCCUCCACCGCAGAACACCUCAUCAUUGCCACCAUUACCAAAUUCGUUUCUUCACCGUCAAAUUUAAUCUCCAAUUUCAACAUCGCUCUCUGCGCUAGAAGCGGAAGACAAGGCGAAGAUCAUUUAGCGACGGUGAGUUGGAGGAUGGAGGAGAGGAUCUCCGAUUUUUUAACAGCGAUGGAGAUGGUGAUUCUCCUUUUGGCGGUGGCAGUGGUGGAAACUGAAGUGACGGUGUAGAGGGUGAAAUUUUGAUAAAUUUGGAGGGCAAAAUUGGGAUGAAUCAUCCUCUUAGUCAUCAGCCUCAAAAUUUGCUUAUGGAUUUGUUUAUGAAGUGAUUUAUUGAAUCGUGUUAUCGAAUUGUUUGCAUUUUGCCUUUAAAAAGGUUUCAAGGUUUAUGGCUGAUGGUGAAAGAGAGAAGGUUUCUAAGAGAUUGACAUCCAUUUGCUAGUGGCUAAAGUUCAAGAACCAGUGUGUUUAUGAGAUCAAUGAAGGGGAUCGUGGACUAUUGAA